UACGUAGGGGGCAAGCGUUGUCCGGAUUUAUUGGGCGUAAAGAGCUCGUAGGCGGUUUGGUAAGUCUGGUGUGAAAUCUCCACGCUCAACGUGGAGGGGCCACCCGAUACUGCCAUGACUGGAGUCCGGUAGAGGAGUGUGGAAUUCCCGGUGUAGCGGUGAAAUGCGCAGAUAUCGGGAGGAACACCCGUAGCGAAGGCAGCUCGCUGGCCUGCAACUGACGCUGAGGCGCGACAGCGUGGGGAGCGAACUGG
rnacentral:rRNA from 1 species